rnacentral:rRNA from 1 species
UACGUAGGGGGCUAGCGUUAUCCGGAAUUACUGGGCGUAAAGGGUGCGUAGGUGGUUUCUUAAGUCAGAGGUGAAAGGCUACGGCUCAACCGUAGUAAGCCUUUGAAACUGGGAAACUUGAGUGCAGGAGAGGAGAGUGGAAUUCCUAGUGUAGCGGUGAAAUGCGUAGAUAUUAGGAGGAACACCAGUUGCGAAGGCGGCUCUCUGGACUGUAACUGACACUGAGGCACGAAAGCGUGGGGAGCAAACAGGAUUAGAUGCCCUGGUAGUCCCUGA